CUAUUCUUGAUUAUACUUGCAAUGUCAUUCCAAAUCAGCCUGGAAAGUAAGUCCAAUUAUACCAGCAAUGCCAUUCCAAAUAUCUUUUUACAAUUUACAUGAUGCAUUUCUCAUAAGAAUCUAGAGUAUUACAUUCUGGAUUUUGAACAUUCCUCAGCAGAAAUUUUCAGCAUCUCUACCUUUUGCUAGUUUUAUAUGCAUUACAAGUUUCAGUUAAGAUGAUUGUCGGAGUUUCCAUGUUGAACUACCAUAGGUGGUGUUCUUAUGCUAUUAUAGAUUUCACAGGAGAUGCAUUUUCGCACCUAGCAAGUGAACAAAUUUGCCUCGCUUGGUCUAGAACGAGCUCCCCUUGGGUCAACAGUGCAUCGGGCAUAUCCAAAAACCAGGUACAUAAAAGGCCAUCACAUUGUAGAGCUCUUCAUCUGCUUGACGGACUUUCAUUGAAUUGUCUUUUUAUUUUGAAGUCUUCCAUCAUAGAUUUUAGUUUUUACAGUCAAGUUUGCAAGUUAGAUAAAUAAUGUUUCAAAUUACAUCAUGGUUGUUUUUACUAUCUUUUGAUUCUUAAAUGAAUAUGGCUUAAAUAUAUUUUAUUUUAUUUUAUUUUAUACAGUAGGUUUUUUUGUUUAAAAUCGUUCCGAAAUAAGAAAAAAUACCAUUCUCAAAUAU